rnacentral:tRNA from 1 species
GGGGCCAUAGCUCAGCUGGGAGAGCGCUUGCAUGGCAUGCAAGAGGUCGG